UAUGUCGUUAUGAAUGUAGAGUUUUAGUUUGAAUGAAAUAUCAGACGCAAGUAGCUUAGCUUAAAGUGGCUGUUACCAUGCAGGCUGAAGGCUGAAGUUAGCUAGCAGACAGACACAGGUGAAAGUUGUUAACGUUAGCAGCUAGUUAGUAACAUUACUUUGCGAACUCCAUGGGGCAUGGGUAGUUAACAUUAAACUUAAUACAUGUAGUGUUGAUGCAUAAUAUGUAGUGUUGCUAUAACUGGAAAGAGGACCAGUAAAACAAAUGAAUGAAGUAGGCUGAUGUGUAAGUUAUCUCACCCCUAAUUUAGGAACUGUAGUUUUGCAUAGUCAUGCUCAUAGAUCCGUCAUAUAGUGGAUGUGAAAGGGGAGCAUUUGGGGAAUUUCAAUUACCAGAAAUAUCAUGCCGAUAAGUAAAGGGAUCUUUAGUUUGUGAAGGGUAGUGUUUGGCUAAAUGGUAUUCAUUUUAUAGCCUUUAUUUGCCCAAUGUUUGGUGACUUACAUUGAGGCAUGUGUUUAUUUAAGAUGCAUGUGAGUGUAGUAGUGCUUCAGUGAUGGUCUUUUCAUGUUCUGUGUGUUUUGCAAUGUAUUAAUUAAUGUAAGCCUCUUUCUGUUCCCUCUGUUAGUAGGUGGUGUGAGGACUGCUGCCCUGAGAACGCUGUGUCAGAGACACUUAGGCUGUGUGCAUUUUGGAAUGUUCCAAAUGUGUGUCACUUCCAUAAGGAAGAAGUUCCAAGCCUGCAAGCUCAACUGUCAACAACUGUCCAGGGCGAAGUCGGUCUACCCUGAUGGCACUACCUGAUGGCACUACCCUGAUGAUGUCUGUUAGCCAUGGCUGCUGCCCUCAACAUGGUGAGCCAUCCAGAAGUCCCAGCCUGGAGCCAGAGGCUGCUAUUGCAAGUCAGAUGGGAGACGGCCUACAGUAUGUUAGGCAUCAGAAAAGUGGUGUACGCAUGAAGGCAGAGUUGCCGCAGGCAAUUAUGAGAUUAGACACUUGACAUUUACUGCGAAAGGUACCAUCAGAGCACCUCUCCCUACCCUGCAGGAUACCUAUACCAGAAGAGUACAACAACGGCCCAAAAGUAUUUCAAAAGACAUUUCACGCUCUGACCACGGACUGUUUAAACCACUGAGGUCAAGCAGACGUCUCUGUUCCCACGUGGCAGACUGAGGGAACACCCACAAAACAGACUGGGGAUGAGUUUCUUUACUCCGCAUCCUGUACACACACAACUCCUUAUACUACAUUACAUAGACUUGCCAGUUGCCAUACUGCACUUACACACACUGCGCUUUUAACCCCCUUAUCUGUGUCAAAUCAGAUAAGGUUGUGGUUGAAUUCAAACCAUGUCUACGG